UCAGACCCCUCCCCGACUUCCGCGAUCCGUGCUAUUCCUUGACCUUUAUGCGCAGGAGUACUCGCCGCCAAGUGCCAAAUUCUAUGCCAAUACUUUAGUUGUUUCUGCUAAUUUCCAAGGAUUGCAAUCUUCCCUUGGGAAAUGUACGGAUGAUUUUUUUCUUGCGCGCAGGAAAGGAUAAGAGCUUUGCAACAAAAGGCCGUCUCCUUCAAAUCUCCAUGCUACAUGCACCUGAGAUUCUGAGGUGCCUGAGAACGAACUCGGAAGAUAUGAUUCGAAGAUGAUGGACGGGUUGAUGGAGGAAGGAAGGAUAUUAGGCCUGCUAGUGGGGCGGGGUCAGAUGGGGAUUUUGGGGCGGGUUUUCGAAUGGAGAUCUGUUUGUGUGGGUAGUAACGGGUUUAGAGGCCAACUGGUUGGGGCGGGGUCGGCUGCACUUGCGGGUUGGGGCGGGGUGGGUGACUGGGUGGAGAAAACAGAUUGAGAUCCCGCGAGAAAGCUGAAGGCGCGACACCGCCGCCGCCGCCAUCGCCGCCGCCGGCCACCGUCGCCGCCGCACAUCCCCUCCUCCGACGUCCACGGAUCAAGGUACUCAUCUUCCACCUCGCAUCUCUAUGUCCUCCGCAUCACCCCUUCCUCUUCCUCUUCUUGCAAAAUGCCAAGAUCUAUGGGGGAGGUGCUGUAGGCCUCUGUACACCCUCAUCGCAGGAGCCACAGGUGGAUGGACCUGGCUUCGGCACCACCGUCGACUUGAAGUUUGAGGAACCGCGGUGAUCUGCUACCAGCCGUCGGCACCAGGCUGCAGGAGGAUUCAUCGAUUCAUUAGGAGGACAAGAUCGAUCAGAGCAGGUGAGGAGGAAUUAAUCUCGCCGGUGAACAGAACAGGCCGGCAUACCUCUGGAGGCCGCGCUUGAUGCCGUCGGCGGUGACGUCGGUGUAGAAGGCGUCCCAGGUGCACCAGCCGAACCAGUCGAGGAACGACGGCAGCUUCUUCAUCUCCCGGUGGUGGAACGUCUGCAGGUGCUUCUCCACCGCCCGGACGGCGGCGCCUGCUCGUAUAGGUGAACUAGGGCCGAUGCUUAGUUUGAGUUCAAGAUCACUCUCAACAGUGGCACUCCAAUUUUCAUCCUUAACUGUUUUAUGGCUGCCUAUUGAGUUUUCUGUGCUGUUUUCUUAAAUAGGUCUUCAAAGAGAACUAAAAUCAAAUUAGUAUUAGAUCUUCAAAGGGAGCUGAAAAUUGGUAGUGUCACAAGUUCAAUUCCUGUCUUGCUUUAGCAAAAUAGCAUUGCUUGCAGUAGAGGAGGACCUGCCAGAGCCUGAAUUGGGGAGCAACUUGUGGGCAGAAUGCCGCACCAGCACCAAGGGUUAACCUGGGGCUCAGGAUUGCAAGGAGCUGAUGCAGCUUUUUUUAGGAUAGCAACAGCAUCGCCCUCUUGAGGAACUGUAACUUCAUGUGAUAGUUACAAAAAUUACCAUCGCAUUUGUUCGAGCUACAUGUGUCACAGUUUUUUAUGUUUUAAUGUUACCAUUGUUACUACCA